rnacentral:piRNA from 1 species
UAGAAAUGCUUCAAUAGCCUAUGGAAUCCUU